AGAAUGUCACUGGUGCUUAGCACCUAUCCGCUCUCCAGACUGCGUCUGUGUUCUAUGGCAGUUACACACACGUAGUGGUGUUCACGAGCGGUUUUGUGGACUCAAAGGUUUUCUCCCUGAGAGGCAUAACCCAGGCCAGCUGAUUCAUCAGAAUCAGGUCCCGCCCCUCCUGGGAGUCAGUGCCACAGGAAGGCCCUUGUCCUCCCUUCCCUGUGCCUUCUCCCGGGCUGAGCCCUGAGCUGGAUAGAGACAGAGCCAGUCCUUUCUGGGGGUCGGCUCCCAGGCUUGGGCGGCUCAGGCCCUGUGCACGUCCUCAGCUCUGCCUGGGUUGCCUUACAGUGAGACGGAGCUGCCUCCUGUGACUGCACGGGAGGCGAAGAAAAUUCGGCGGGAGAUGACACGAACGAGCAAGUGGAUGGAAAUGCUGGGAGAAUGGGAGACAUAUAAGCACAGUAGCAAACUCAUAGAUCGAGUGUACAAGGGAAUUCCCAUGAACAUCCGGGGCCCGAUGUGGUCAGUCCUCCUGAACAUUCAGGAAAUCAAGUUGAAAAACCCCGGAAGAUACCAG
rnacentral:sRNA from 1 species